ensembl:lncRNA
AUGGCAGAUACGGACAGCCCUCUCCCUCCUAGCGGACAGGAGAAGCGCGUUUCCCCCUCCUACAGCGAGCUGUUGGAUGUGGUCUCUCGUGCGGUGGGUAAGCUGGGACUGGAUUGGGAGGUUGAGAAGGCCGAGGCCCAACCUUCAUCUAAGCUGGACGACCGUUUUUUAACUAGUCGUGCUCCUGCGCAGCCCCGUAGGCCCCUGCCUUUUUUCCCGGACCUCCACCAGGAGGUUUCGAGGUCCUGGAAGCAGCCCUACUCGGCGCGCAUCACGAACGCUGCGGCUGCGGAUUUCGCCACCAUUUCAGAUAUGGCGAACCGUGGCUAUACAGCGAUGCCUCCGGUUGAGGAGACUCUCGCCGAACAUCUGGCGCCUAAUUCGGCCACGGCAUGGAAGUCUCGCCCCCUCCUUCCUUCGAAGGCGUGUCGAGUCACGUCUAGCCUCGUCGGGAAAUCUUACAUGGCUGCUGGCCAGGCGGCCGCAUCGCUCCACUCUAUGGCGGUCCUCCAGGCCUACCAAGCGGAGCUUUUAAAGGAUCUCGACGAGGGGGAGGGCAUCACACCCGAGGCUGUGAAAGAGCUGCGUCGAGCAAUGGAUUUGGCGCUACGCGCUACCAAACAUACUGCUCGGGCAGUGGGCCGUUCCAUGGCUGGUUUGAUUACGGUCGAGCGCCACCUUUGGCUGAAUCUCACCGAUAUCAAGGAAAAGGAUAAAUCUUUUCUCAUGGACGCGCCCAUUUCUAAGGACGGUUUGUUUGGAGAGGCAGUUACGUCGGUGGUGGAUAAAUUUAGGGCAGCGAAACAGCAAUCAGCCGCUUUCCGCCAGCUGAUUCCACGCAGACCCAGAGAGACUGAAUGGCGGCAGGCGCCCGCGCGGUCACGUUCAACCUCUUCAAACCGCCAACGGGCUGCCUCACGGGAAGAGCCUUCGCCUAUGGCGCCCCCUCGUAAGGACUGGGGUCCUAAGGCUUUUCCACCAGCUCGCCAGCGACAGCGGAAAAGAUUAGACCUGAGUUCGACGGCUAAUGCCUCUCGCUCUCGGGCUCCUAAUAGCAGCUCCUGA